rnacentral:misc_RNA from 1 species
AAGUCGUAACAAGGUUUCCGUAGGUGAACCUGCGGAAGGAUCAUUAUCGAGUUUUGAACGGGUUGUAGCUGGCCUUUAACGAGGCAUGUGCACACCUGGCUCAUCCACUCUCAACCUCUGUGCACUUUAUGUAAGAAACGGUGUAAGCCAGCUAUUUAAUAGUUGGUAACAAGCCUUUCUUAUGUUUACUACAAACGCUUCAGUUAUAGAAUGUUUACUGUGUACAACACAAUUAUAUACAACUUUCAGCAACGGAUCUCUUGGCUCUC